UUCAGACGAUGCGUCAUGCAUAUCAAUAAGCGGAGGAAAAGAAACUAACAAGGAUUCCCUUAGUAACGGCGAGUGAAGCGGGAAGAGCUCAAAUUUGAAAUCUUCAAGGUUUGACCUUGACGAAUUGUAGUUUAAAGAAGUGUUUUCGGUUGAAGUUUUGGUAAAAGUUCUUUGGAAUAGGACAUCAUAGAGGGUGAGAAUCCCGUAUUUGACCAUUAUUUUCAGCUGUGUGAUACACUUUCAAAGAGUCGGAUUGUUUGGGAAUGCAGUCCAAAAUGGGUGGUAAAUUUCAUCUAAAGCUAAAUAUUGGCGAGAGACCGAUAGCGAACAAGUACCGUGAGGGAAAGAUGAAAAGAACUUUGAAAAGAGAGUUAAACAGUACGUGAAAUUGUCAAAAGGGAAGCGUUUGACACCAGUGUUGUUUUCUCGAGAAAUCAAUUAAAAAGAGUUGGAUUUUGUGUUGUAUUGACCUUAACAGCUUGCUUCACUCUUUUCCUGCUUUUUUUAAUGCACUUUUCGUAUAACAAGUCAACAUCAGUUUCUUUUGUUGUAAAAGGGUCAUUGGAAGGUGGCUUUCUCUUCGGAGAAAGUGUUUAUAGCCUUUGAUCUCUGCAAUCGGAGAGACUGAGGUCUGCAGCGUAGAUCCUUCGGGGUUAGAUACAUUUGUGCUAAGCUACAGCUUUUCAUAGACAACUUGUUGACUAUGUUUAGUCUUGUAACUUACCCGCUUAUGCUAUUUUACCUACGCUUAGGAUGUUGAUAUGCAUGACUGAUAU
rnacentral:rRNA from 1 species